rnacentral:rRNA from 1 species
UAGCGAAAUUCCUUGUCGGGUAAGUUCCGACCUGCACGAAUGGCGUAACGACUUCUCGACUGUCUCAACCAUAGGCUCGGCGAAAUUGCACUACGAGUAAAGAUGCUCGUUACGCGCGGCAGGACGGAAAGACCCCGGGACCUUCACUACAACUUGAUAUUGGUGUUCGGUUCGGCUUGUGUAGGAUAGGUGGGAGACUGUGAAGCUUGGACGCUAGUUCAGGUGGAGUCAUUGUUGAAAUACCACUCUGGUUACUUUGGAUAUCUAACUACGAACCGUAAUCCGGUUCUGGGACAGUGCCUGGUGGGUAGUUUAACUGGGGCGGUUGCCUCCUAAAAAGUAACGGAGGCGCCCAAAGGUUCCCUCAGCCUGGUUGGCAAUCAGGUGUCGAGUGCAAGUGCACAAGGGAGCUUGACUGUGAGACAGACAUGUCGAGCAGGGACGAAAGUCGGGACUAGUGAUCCGGCACUGGCUUGUGGAAGCGGUGUCGCUCAACGGAUAAAAGGUACCCCGGGGAUAACAGGCUGAUCUCCCCCAAGAGUCCACAUCGACGGGGAGGUUUGGCACCUCGAUGUCGGCUCGUCGCAUCCUGGGGCUGGAGUAGGUCCCAAGGGUUGGGCUGUUCGCCCAUUAAAGCGGCACGCGAGCUGGGUUUAGAACGUCGUGAGACAGUUCGGUCCCUAUCCGCCGCGCGCGCAGGAGACUUGAGAAGAGCUGUCCCUAGUACGAGAGGACCGGGACGGACGAACCUCUGGUGUGACAGUUGUCCUGCCAAGGGCACCGCUGUUUAGCUACGUUCGGCAGGGAUAACCGCUGAAAGCAUCUAAGCGGGAAGCUCGCUUCAAGAUGAGGUCUCCCACAGGGUUAACCUGGUAAGGCCCCCCACGAGACCAUGGGGUUGAUAGGCCGGAAGUGGAAGCCGAGUAAUCGGUGCAGCUGACCGGUACUAAUAGGCCGAGGGCUUGAUCAC